AUGAUGCCAUCCCACACCAAUCUGGCUACUGGAAUCCCUAGUAGCAAAGCAAAAUACUCAAGGCUCUCCAGCACAGACAGUGGCUACACUCACCUCCUAAGGUUUAAAAAAGGCCUUCCUAAGAUGCCUUAGAAGGCCAUUGCAGUCACCACUGUGCUGUUUCUGAUUGGCACCUUUCUAUUAUCAUAGGCUCCCUCCUGCUGUUGGGCUACAUCAGCAAAGUGGGGACAGACUAGGUUGUUCCAGUUCUGAUCACUGGCAAUUUGGUGUUCCUGCCGAAUGCAUCCAAAAGCUACCAGGGUUACUCCUACCAUGGCCUUCCAGACUUUGACGAC
rnacentral:lncRNA from 1 species